GCCGGUGUAGCUCAGUUGGUUAGAGCAUGCGGCUCAUAUCCGCAGGGUCCGGGGUUCAAGUCCCUGCACCGGCACCA
rnacentral:tRNA from 2 species